AGCCAGCAGCCGCGGUAAUACGUAGGGGGCGAGCGUUGUCCGGAUUUACUGGGCGUAAAGAGCGCGUAGGCGGUCUGAAGAGUCGGCUGUGAAAUCUCUGGGCCCAACCCAGAGGGGUCGGCCGAGACCUUUGGACUAGAGGGUGGUAGAGGAAGGUGGAAUUCCGGGUGUAGUGGUGAAAUGCGUAGAGAUCCGGAGGAACACCAGUGGCGAAGGCGGCCUUCUGGGCCAUACCUGACGCUGAGGCGCGAAAGCGUGGGGAGCGAACCGAAUUAGAUACUCGGGUAGUCCACGCCCUAAACGAUGGACGCUAGGUGUCGGGGGUAUCGACCCCCCCGGUGCCCGAGCGAACGCAGUAAGCGUCCCGCCUGGGGAGUACGGCCGCAAGGCUAAAACUCAAAGGAAUUGACGGGGGCCCGCACAAGG
rnacentral:rRNA from 1 species